ensembl:snoRNA
AUCCUCCAGAUUCCUAGCCCUCAACCUAAACCGUGGUCCGAGUGGCUUCAACAGGAGGGAAAGUCAACCUGAAAUGGACUUGGAGUCUUUAGUGACAAACAAGUUCAUUUCGAUCAAUA